rnacentral:rRNA from 1 species
CCUACGGGGGGCUGCAGUGGGGAAUAUUGGACAAUGGGGGCAACCCUGAUCCAGCCAUGCCGCGUGUGUGAAGAAGGCCCUCGGGUUGUAAAGCACUUUCAGUGAGGAAGAACGCCUGGUGGUUAAUACCCAUCAGGAAAGACAUCACUCACAGAAGAAGCACCGGCUAACUCCGUGCCAGCAGCCGCGGUAAUACGGAGGGUGCGAGCGUUAAUCGGAAUUACUGGGCGUAAAGCGCGCGUAGGUGGCUUGAUAAGCCGGUUGUGAAAGCCCCGGGCUCAACCUGGGAACGGCAUCCGGAACUGUCAAGCUAGAGGGCAGGAGAGGAAGGUAGAAUUCCCGGUGUAGCGGUGAAAUGCGUAGAGAUCGGGAGGAAUACCAGUGGCGAAGGCGGCCUUCUGGACUGACACUGACACUGAGGUGCGAAAGCGUGGGUAGCAAACAGGAUUAGAUACCCCGGUAGUC